UACGUAGGGUGCAAGCGUUAACCGGAAUUACUGGGCGUAAAGCGUGCGCAGGCGGUUCGGAAAGAGAGGUGUGAAAUCCCAGGGCUUAACCUUGGAACUGCACUUCUAACUACCGGGCUAGAGUACGUCAGAGGGGGGUAGAAUUCCACGUGUAGCAGUGAAAUGCGUAGAGAUGUGGAGGAAUACCGAUGGCGAAGGCAGCCCCCUGGGAUGAUACUGACGCUCAUGCACGAAAGCGUGGGGAGCAAACAGG
rnacentral:rRNA from 1 species